rnacentral:misc_RNA from 1 species
AACCAUUCUCACCUGCGGCUAGACCUGCGGAAGGAUCAUUACAGAGUUGCAAAACUCCCUAAACCAUUGUGAACGUUACCUAAACCGUUGCUUCGGCGGGCGGCCCGGGUCCUUCCCGGCGCCCAUCGGCCCUCGCGGGCGCCCGCCGGAGGUAAACCAAACUAUUGCAUUGUAUGGCCUCUCUGAGUCUUCUGUACUGAAUAAGUCAAAACUUUCAACAAUGGAUCUCAGAUCGGAAGA